UGGGGAAUAUUGGACAAUGGGCGAAAGCCUGAUCCAGCCAUGCCGCGUGUGUGAAGAAGGUCUUCGGAUUGUAAAGCACUUUAAGUUGGGAGGAAGGGCAGUAAGUUAAUACCUUGCUGUUUUGACGUUACCGACAGAAUAAGCACCGGCUAACUUCGUGCCAGCAGCCGCGGUAAUACGAAGGGUGCAAGCGUUAAUCGGAAUUACUGGGCGUAAAGCGCGCGUAGGUGGUUUGAUAAGUUGGAUGUGAAAGCCCCGGGCUCAACCUGGGAAUUGCAUCCAAAACUGUCUGACUAGAGUAUGGCAGAGGGUGGUGGAAUUUCCUGUGUAGCGGUGAAAUGCGUAGAUAUAGGAAGGAACACCAGUGGCGAAGGCGACCGCCUGGGGCUAAAUUACUGGACACUGAGGUGCGAAAAGCGUGGGGAGCAAACAAGGAUUAGGAUACCCUGGUAGUCCACGCCGUAAACGAUGUCGACUAGCCGUUGGGGAUCCUUGAGAUCUUAGUGGCGCAGCUAACGCAUUAAGUCGACCGCCUGGGGAGUACGGCCGCAAGGUUAAAACUCAAAGUGAAUUGACGGGGGUCAUAGCUGUUUCCUG
rnacentral:rRNA from 1 species